rnacentral:rRNA from 1 species
GACGAACGCUGGCGGCGUGCUUAACACAUGCAAGUCGAACGCUGAAGCUCAGCUUUUGUUGGGUGGAUGAGUGGCGAACGGGUGAGUAACACGUGAGUAACCUGCCUCCUUCUUUGGGAUAACGCCCGGAAACGGGUGCUAAUACUGGAUAUUCACUGGUCUUCACAUGGGGGUUGGUGGAAAGGGUUUUUCUGGUGGGGGAUGGGCUCGCGGCCUAUCAGCUUGUUGGUGGGGUGAUGGCCUACCAAGGCUUUGACGGGUAGCCGGCCUGAGAGGGUGACCGGUCACAUUGGGACUGAGAUACGGCCCAGACUCCUACGGGAGGCAGCAGUGGGGAAUAUUGCACAAUGGGCGCAAGCCUGAUGCAGCGACGCCGCGUGAGGGAUGGAGGCCUUCGGGUUGUGAACCUCUUUCGCUCAUGGUCAAGCCGCAACAAUGGUUGUGGUGAGGGUAGUGGGUAAAGAAGCGCCGGCUAACUACGUG